UCACAUGGUACCCCCUAUUUUAUGUAUGCAUGCGUUUGAGUUAGUUAUAUAUUCUGGAAUAUUUUAACCCUUACACUUUUAGUCUUUCCGAGGGCAUCAUGCCAGUAACAUCGGAUUUGUUAUACUUUACUAGCUGUUUUUAGUUUUUGUCUUGUCUGUUUGCGACUUUUGAGUUAAGUGGAGGUUUUCCGUCAUAUUCCAAUAACGAGCUGUCGUGUCUCGCGAGUCUUGUGAUUUUAUAAUAUUUUUUUUCACAGUUUUUUUAAGUACACCAACGCAGCCGAUAAACCAAUCACGUGGAAGUAAUUGCAUACUGACGACGACGAUAUUACUUUUUCCCAUGGCAACAGUUGUUUGAGGGAAAGCCCGCGGGAAAUAACCGAGAGCUUGGAGGAAAAAGUGGCAGCGCGGAAGCUGAGUAAUAAUGACAGUUAAACGAAGAGUAAAAAACGCGCCCAUACCCAGGAACACAACAAAACACAAACAAAAAAAAGUAAAAUAGUGACUGCGACUGCGGACACGCGAGGGC